GCUGAUUUAGUCAUAAGUUUAGUGGUGUNGGAUUGUAGCUUCCGAGGUNAGGUUUCUAAUCAGA
rnacentral:tRNA from 1 species